AGCAGAUGAAGCUAGAAAAUCCAUAUUGAAGAAACACUUGCCCAGGUUGAAAACCCAUAUUGAAAAGCAAUGAAAACUCAGAUUUAUUAUCAUCUCUAGAACCUGCAAGGGCACCGCUUGCGAAUUCAUCUUCACCUUUUCCCUCUUGGCUGUGAGAAGGUUUUCCUCCUUAUUUUUCUCGCACUUCUCUCGAACAUGUUUCUUCCUUUCCUGACUUUCAACCUUGGCUUUAAUUUCCCAUUUGAAAUUUGAAAUUUAACCUAAAAAUCAAAUCUUGCAAGGCGAUUCAUCGCUCAGUCGCCAUAGCCCAGAAGAAAGAUGUUGAAUCCAAUUGGAAAUCUCAGGUUUAUUUUUUUAAUCGCGAGUAUUAUCUCUCUCUCUGGAUCUGUUCAAUUUCUAACCAGAUCUUCACACUCUCAUUUCCCUGAGUUUUUUCUCGCUCCCCACCAUUUUUUUCUAUCUUAAAGGUAUGAUUUUUCCGUAAUUAUAUCAGCGUGGGGGCAUUGGGUUUUUGGAUUUUGUUAUUUGGUUCUUAUAUAACGUGAAUUGUUAUUGAACCUUGACUGAAAGCUAGCUUCUUUUUCCAUUGUACAGGGGAAUCAUGUAUUUUGAGGUCUGUAAACAGAAAGCUUGGGAAGUAGCACAACCUCCUUUGAAAAACUUGCUAAUGAGGGGGUUCAGGAUGUGGAUGGUUGGUAGUACAGUUCACUUGUUUAGCAUUGGUAUCACCUUCUCAGCUCUGGUGGUGGGAGUGAGGAGGAAGAAGAUGAUGGAGAGAUUGAUCUAAUUUGGGGAUUUUGACUUGGGACUAAAUUGAAGUAUUUAAAAUUCUCCAAAAAAUAAUUUCAAUAUUUAAAUCCACGUGGCAAGUCUACUGAGGUACUUAGCAUGCCAAAUCACCUUGGCAGUUAACGUUCACUAACAGAAGUCGAGCCAGGGACUAACGUGAUUGACGUUUUGCAACAUCAGGGACUACGGGCGACAUUUUCAUAGAAUAGGGACUAAAAUGCCCGACGCUUGUAACUUUAGGGACGAAAGUGACCAUUCACCCGAUUUUCGGAUCCUAUCACUAAUGGUGUUAAUGUUGCAGGACUUAUAAGUGCAAGGGCAGGAUGGUCAGGGGGUUAGUUUGGGUUUUACUGCCUCAAGAUUUCGAGAGUGGGAUGAUGAAGAUUGUUCAUUCACAUGUUGUUACAGUUUGACAUGGGAGAUUUUCAUGUACUUAUUGGUGGUAAACCCACUGACUGUAAUUACUAUGAUAAAUCAAGCAAUUGGAGCAUAUGGAGUUGCAAGCCAAGAAUGCAAGUCCGUUGUUGAACCGUAUGGAUAAAGAAUCUUGGAAUUGCUCUCGGGUAAUGUAAGUGCCACUUUUAAUUGAUUCAUGACUUCUUGAAUAGUUUAUUGAUUAGAUUCUUGUAAUCCUUGCCUUUAGGAAAGAUGCUGUUAGUAAAAAUUGUAAGGUUUGUAUUAUAAAUAUUACUUAGCAAAUUUAGUUGUUCUGCAUUUUGCUUUUUUUCUUUCAUUCCUAACUUUCAAGUGGAAUUAAUUGUUCUUGUUGUUCUUGACUUGAAAGUUGUAUGCAAUAGUGAGCUUUGACUUGAAAGUGGAGAAGUUCUUCUGCUUGCUCUAGCCUCAAGGUACUUAAGCUUCUCAGAUCCUUGUUUAUUUUUCCUUCUUCAUCUCUUGACUUUUGAGAUAGAACAUGUU